UACGUAGGGGGGCAAGCGUUGUCCGGAAUCAUUGGGCGUAAAGCGCGCGCAGGCGGUCCUUUUAAGUCUGAUGUGAAAGCCCACGGCUCAACCGUGGAGGGUCAUUGGAAACUGGGGGGACUUGAGUGCAGGAGAGAAGAGUGGAAUUCCACGUGUAGCGGUGAAAUGCGUAGAGAUGUGGAGGAACACCAGUGGCGAAGGCGACUCUUUUGGCCUGUAACUGACGCUGAGGCGCGAAAAGCGUGGGGGAGCAAACAGG
rnacentral:rRNA from 1 species